rnacentral:rRNA from 1 species
GUAUAAGCAAUUAUACAGCGAAACUGCGAAUGGCUCAUUAUAUAAGUUAUCGUUUAUUUGAUAGUACCUUACUACUUGGAUAACCGUGGUAAUUCUAGAGCUAAUACAUGCUAAAAAUCCCGACUUCGGAAGGGAUGUAUUUAUUAGAUUAAAAACCAAUGCCCUCUGGGCUCUCUGGUGAUUCAUGAUAACUUCUCGAAUCGCAUGGCCUUGCGCCGGCGAUGGUUCAUUCAAAUUUCUUCCCUAUCAACUUUCGAUGUUUGGGUAUUGGCCAAACAUGGUCGCAACGGGUAACGGAGGGUUAGGGCUCGACCCCGGAGAAGGAGCCUGAGAAACGGCUACUACAUCCAAGGAAGGCAGCAGGCGCGCAAAUUACCCAAUCCCGACACGGGGAGGUAGUGACAAUAAAUACUGAUACAGGGCUCUUUCGGGUCUUGUAAUUGGAAUGAGUACAAUUUAAAUCCCUUAACGAGGAACAAUUGGAGGGCAAGUCUGGCC